GAUGAACGCUGGCGGCGUGCCUAAUACAUGCAAGUCGAGCGAACAGAUGAGGAGCUUGCUCCUCUGACGUUAGCGGCGGACGGGUGAGUAACACGUGGAUAACCUACCUAUAAGACUGGGAUAACUUCGGGAAACCGGAGCUAAUACCGGAUAAUAUAUUGAACCGCAUGGUUCAAUAGUGAAAGACGGUUUUGCUGUCACUUAUAGAUGGAUCCGCGCCGCAUUAGCUAGUUGGUAAGGUAACGGCUUACCAAGGCAACGAUGCGUAGCCGACCUGAGAGGGUGGUUCGCCACAGUUGAACUGGAAACAGGGCCCGACUUCCACGGGAGGCCACAGGAGGGGAUCUUUCGGCAUGGGGGGAAGGCUUGAGGAGCAACGGCGGGUUGGUGAAUAAGGGUUUCCGAUUCUUAAAACUUGGUUUUAGGGAAGAAAAAAUUUGUAAGUUAACAAUGACGGUUUGAACGGUACCAAUCAGAAAGCCACGGCUAACUACGUG
rnacentral:rRNA from 1 species